AAUAGAUACCCAGGUAGUCCACGCCGUAAACGAUGAGUGCUAAGUGUUAGAGGGUUUCCGCCCUUUAGUGCUGCAGCUAACGCAUUAAGCACUCCGCCUGGGGAGUACGGCCGCAAGGCUGAAACUCAAAGGAAUUGACGGGGGCCCGCACAAGCGGUGGAGCAUGUGGUUUAAUUCGAAGCAACGCGAAGAACCUUACCAGGUCUUGACAUCCUCUGCCGACCCUAGAGAUAGGGCGUUCCCCUUCGGGGGACAGAGUGACAGGUGGUGCAUGGUUGUCGUCAGCUCGUGUCGUGAGAUGUUGGGUUAAGUCCCGCAACGAGCGCAACCCUUGAUCUUAGUUGCCAGCAUUCAGUUGGGCACUCUAAGGUGACUGCCGGUGACAAACCGGAGGAAGGUGGGGAUGACGUCAAAUCAUCAUGCCCCUUAUGACCUGGGCUACACACGUGCUACAAUGGAUGGUACAAAGAGCUGCGAACCCGCGAGGGUAAGCGAAUCUCAUAAAGCCAUUCUCAGUUCGGAUUGUAGG
rnacentral:rRNA from 1 species